CGAACGCUGGCGGCGUGCUUAACACAUGCAAGUCGAACGCGAAAGGGACUUCGGUCCUGAGUAAAGUGGCGCACGGGCGAGUAACGCGUAGAUAACCUGUCUUCAUGUCUGGAAUAAUACGCCAAAGGGGUACUAAUACCGGAUAUCUUGCUUUUCAUAAGUUAUGCAAGCAAAGGUGGCCUCUGCAUAUGCUACUGCAUGAAGAGGGGUCUGCGUACCAUUAGCUAGUAGGUGGGGUAAUGGCCUACCUAGGCGACGAUGGUUAGCGGGUCUGAGAGGAUGAUCCGCCACACUGGCACUGGAACACGGGCCAGACUCCUACGGGAGGCAGCAGUGAGGAAUAUUGCGCAAUGGGGGAAACCCUGACGCAGCGACGCCGCGUGAGUGAGGAAAGGCCUUCGGGUCGUAAAGCUCUGUCAAGAGGAAAGAAGUGUACAAUGGCUAAUACCUGUUGUAUUUGACGGUACCUCUAAAGGAAGCACCGGCUAACUCCGUGCCAGCAGCAGC
rnacentral:rRNA from 1 species